AGUUCGAUUCUGGGCUCAGAUUGAACGCUGGCGGGAUGCUUUUACACAUGCAAGUCGAACGGCAGCACGGACUUCGGUCUGGGUGGCGAGUGGCGAACGGGUGAGUAAUGUAUCGGAACGUGCCUAGUAGCGGGGAUAACUACGCAAGCGCAGCUAAUACCGCAUACGACCUUCGGGGGAAAGCGGGGGACCUUCGGGCCUCGCACUAUUAGAGCGGCCGAUAUCGGAUUAGCUAGUUGGUGGGGUAACGGCUCACCAAGGCGACGAUCCGUAGCUGGCUUUGAGAGGACGACCAGCCACACUGGGACUGAGACACGGCCCAGACUCCUACGGGAGGCAGCAGUGGGGAAUUUUGGACAAUGGGGGAAACCCCGAUCCAGCCAUCCCGCGUGUGCGAUGAAGGCCUUCGGGUUGUAAAGCACUUUUGGUAGGAAAGAACGCACGCGGAUACCCCGUGCAACUGACGGUACCUGUAGAAUAAGCACCGGCUAACUACGUGCCAGCAGCCGCGGUAAUACGUAGGGUGCAAGCGUUAAUCGGAAUUACUGGGCGUAAAGCGUGCGCAGGCGGUUCGGAAAGAAAGAUGUGAAAUCCCAGAGCUUAACUUUGGAACUGCAUUUUUAACUACCGAGCUAGAGUGUGUCAGAGGGAGUGUGGAAUUCCCGCGUGUAGCAGUGAAAUGCGUAGAUAUGCGGAGGAACACCGGAUGGCGAAGGCAGCUCUCUGGGAUAACACUGACGCUCAUGCACGAAAGCGUGGGGAGCAAACAGGAUUAGAUACCCUGGUAGUCCACGCCUCUAAACGAUGUCAACUAGCUGUUGGGGCCUUCGCCUUGGUAGCGCAGCUAACGCGUGAAGUUGACCGCCUGGGGAGUACGGUCAUCGCAAGAUUAAAACUCAAAGAAUUGACGGGGACCCGCAAUAAGCGGUGGAUGAUGGGAUUAAUUCGAUGCAACGCGAAAAACCUGGCCUACCCUUGAUAUGUCUGGAAUCCCGAAGAGAUUUGGGAGUGCUCGCAAGAGAACUGAACACAGGUGCUGCAUGAAGGCUGUCGUCAGCUCGUGUCGAGAUGUUGGGUUAAGUCCGCAACGAGCGCAACCCUUGUCAUUAGUUGCUACGAAAGGGCACUCUAAUGAGACUGCCGGUGACAAACCGAGGAAGGUGGGGAUGACGUCAAGUCCUCAUGGCCCUUAUGGGUAGGGCUUCACACGUCAUACAAUGGUCGGGACAGAGGGGGAAGCCCAACCUACAGGGGGAGCCAAUCCCAGAAACCCGGAUCGUAGUCCGGAUCGCAGUCUGCAACUCGACUGCGUGAAGUCGGAAUCGCUAGUAAUCGCGGAUCAGCAUUGUCGCGGUGAAUACGUUCCCGGGUCUUGUACACACCCGCCCGUCACACCAUGGGAGUGGGUUUUACCAGAAGUAGUUAGCCUAACCGUAAGGAGGGCGAUUACCACGGUAGGAUUCAUGACUGGGGUGAAGUCUAACAAGGUAA
rnacentral:rRNA from 1 species